rnacentral:rRNA from 1 species
UGGGGAAUAUUGCACAAUGGGGGAAACCCUGAUGCAGCGACGCCGCGUGCGUGAAGAAGUAUUUCGGUAUGUAAAGCUCUAUCAGCAGGGAAGAUAAUGACGGUACCUGACUAAGAAGCCCCGGCUAACUACGGGCCAGCAGCCGCGGUAAUACGUAGGGGGCAAGCGUUAUCCGGAUUUACUGGGUGUAAAGGGAGCGUAGGUGGCAGGGCAAGUCAGAUGUGAAAACCCGGGGCUCAACCCCGGGAGUGCAUUUGAAACUGUCCGGCUGGAGUGCAGGAGAGGUAAGCGGAAUUCCUAGUGUAGCGGUGAAAUGCAUAGAUAUUAGGAGGAACACCAGUGGCGAAGGCGGCUUACUGGACUGUAACUGACACUGAGGCUCGAAAGCGUGGGGAGCAAACAGG